UUAAGUUCAGCGGGUAAUCCUACCUGAUUUGAGAUCAAGAAUUAAGAGUUGGGCUUGCGCGCCCGCAUCCCAAGUUCCUGCGUUCGUCGGUGGCAGUCGUCAGAUCCGAACGUUACGUUAUGGUGCUAAGAAUGAAAACGCCUUGCGACGCCUCCAACUAGUACACCUGCAACGAGCUGAUCCUUAAUGACCACUGCUCC
rnacentral:misc_RNA from 1 species